UACUAGCACUUCAGUAUUCAGGGUGGGACUGAGAGUGCUCUGUGUGUUAAGGUGCCUGCCCACUCUUGUGUGAUGGAGGUUUUUGUAUGGCGACUUAACCAUUAUGAAUCAUUGUGGUGGACUUUUGGAAGCGGAACAAAAGUAGUGCUGAAAACUGGUUCCUCUAUCAGACCCACAGUGUCUCUGCUCCCCCCGUCCUCUGAGCAGCUCUUCGGGGGCUCGGCCACACUGGCCUGCCUGCUGAGUGGCUACUCCCCCCAGGGGGCGAUGGUGAGCUGGGAGGUGGAUGGGGAGGAGGUGAAGGAUGGGGUCCUGACCACCACAGAAGAAGAGAAGGGUGGCCACUACAGCCGCAGCAGCACCCUGACCCUGAGCAAGGCACGCUGGGAAGAGGGAGAGGUGUACACUUGCAGGGUCGCCCAUGACGACACCAGUGAUUCGGCCACCUUCCGGAAAAGUCACUGUAGUGUCUAGAAACCGGAGAAGCCAUUGUAGGGGCCUAGAGAGUCCCCACAUGGUGCCGGUGAAGGAAAUAUUACUGUUUUACAGCUGAAUGUUACAGUAUAGUAGUGAAUCAUUUCAGGAGUGAUGUGUGCUAAAUGAAGUAUGUUGUGAUUCAGUUGUAAAGGUCAUCUUGCUUCUGAGUUCAAAUAAAGCUUGUUUUAAUUGAA